UUAACAUGAUGGACUAUAGGACAGGACUGCUGCUUUUAACCAUCUGCUGCUGGACAGGUGUUGAUGGUCAGACUCUGACAGAAUCUGAACCAGUGAUUAAAAGACCUGGAGAAUCCCACAGACUGACCUGUACAGCCUCUGGAUUUAACUUUGCUGGCUCUUGGAUGGCCUGGAUCAGACAGGCUCCUGGGAAUGGACUGGAGUGGAUCGCUUAUAUAGGCACAUCUAGUUCGCCUAUCCGUUACUCCCAGUCAGUCCAGGGGAGAUUCACCAUCUCCAGAGACGACUCCAGCAGUAAACUUUAUCUACAGAUGAACAGUCUGAAGACCGAGGACACAGCAGUGUAUUACUGUGCCAGAGACACACAGUGA